rnacentral:rRNA from 1 species
ACUCCUACGGGAGGCAGCAGUGGGGAAUAUUGCACAAUGGGGGAAACCCUGAUGCAGCCAUGCCGCGUGUGUGAAGAAGGCCUUCGGGUUGUAAAGCACUUUCAGUAGGGAGGAAGGUAGUGUAGUUAACACCUGCACUAUUUGACGUUACCUACAGAAGAAGCACCGGCUAACUCCGUGCCAGCAGCCGCGGUAAUACGGAGGGUGCGAGCGUUAAUCGGAAUUACUGGGCGUAAAGCGCAUGCAGGCGGCCUGUUAAGUCAGAUGUGAAAGCCCGGGGUCUUAACCUCGGAAUUGCAUUUGAAACUGGCAGGCUAGAGUCUUGUAGAGGGGUUAGAAUUUCAGGUGUAGCGGUGAAAUGCGUAGAGAUCUAGAAGGAAUACCAGUGGCGAAGCGGCCCCUGGACAAAGCUGACGCUCAGAUGCGAAAGCGUGGGAGCAAACGAGGAUUAGAU